CUCAGUGGAAACUGCAUGUACUCAGCAAAAUGGACAUAACACUGAGUUGCUUCCUUGUAUUGUCAGCUUUUUGUGCAAGUCUUACUAUUGUCCAAAAUAAGGAAACCGCAGUAACAGGAAGUCUGACCAAAAAUGAAGAUAGUGGACUAAGGUUAGAUCUUGGAAUUUCCCAUACACAAGAAAACUUCGAAUUUGGAGGGUCAGUUUAUGGAAACAGUCGGGGAAAUGCAGGUGUGAACAUAGGCAUCAAAGGGAAGUUUCAAAAGAGAUCUGCAGCAUGGUUGAUGGUUAAGUGACCAUUGAAGAGUUCAAAUUGAUGGCUCCCAAUUUUAUAAAGAAAUGUGGAUGUAACAAUUAAAGUAUGCAUUUUGUAA